GCGCAACCUGCCCUCAAGACUGGGAUAACUACCGGAAACGGUAGCUAAUACCGGAUAAUUUAUUUCACAGCAUUGUGGAAUAAUGAAAGACGGAGCAAUCUGUCACUUGGNAGAUGGGCCUGCGGCGCAUUAGCUAGUUGGUGGGGUAAUGGCUCACCAAGGCGACGAUGCGUAGCCGACCUGAGAGGGUGAACGGCCACACUGGGACUGAGACACGGCCCAGACUCCUACGGGAGGCAGCAGUAGGGAAUCUUCCGCAAUGGGCGAAAGCCUGACGGAGCAACGCCGCGUGAGUGAUGAAGGUUUUCGGAUCGUAAAGCUCUGUUGCCAAGGAAGAACGUCUUCUAGAGUAACUGCUAGGAGAGUGACGGUACUUGAGAAGAAAGCCCCGGCUAACUACGUGCCAGCAGCCGCGGUAAUACGUAGGGGGCAAGCGUUGUCCGGAAUUAUUGGGCGUAAAGCGCGCGCAGGCGGUUCUUUAAGUCUGGUGUUUAAACCCGAGGCUCAACUUCGGGUCGCACUGGAAACUGGGGGACUUGAGUGCAGAAGAGGAG
rnacentral:rRNA from 1 species